rnacentral:tRNA from 1 species
AAGAUCUUAUGUUAAUAAAACAUUUAGCCUUCAAAGCUAAAAUUACAAGUAAUAACCCUUGUAGAUCUUA